CCUAUCCACUGAUCAAGAGCUUGGACGUGGGAAACGACGGCGCAUUGUUCGGAGCUUCAGUAGCUCAGAUGAAGACGACAUCAGUCUGCUUCCCAAGCCACCCACACCACCACCUUGUGUGAAACUCUCAUCACACAAGAAGCCAAUCUCGUCACACAAGAAGCCAGGCUCGUCACGAAGUAGCAAAGAUCUACCACAAACUCACCAGAGAGCAUUCUGCCCGCCAUACAGCGACGACGAGGAUAUUGCUGAUGAACCUGAGGAG